rfam:Kordia algicida OT-1 1103813601120 genomic scaffold, whole genome shotgun sequence.
UAACCUCUGGCGAUAGACGUGAAUGUUG